rnacentral:rRNA from 1 species
GGUUGUUGCUGGUUCUCUUGGGAGCAUGUGCACGCCUUGUCAUCUUUAUAUCUCCACCUGUGCACCUUUUGUAGACCUUUUACAGGUCUAUGUUGCUUCAUUUACCCCAAUGUAUGUUGAUAGAAUGUCGUCCUAUAAAAUAUAUACAACUUUCAGCAACGGAUCUCUUGGCUCUCGCAUCGAUGAAGAACGCAGCGAAAUGCGAUAAGUAAUGUGAAUUGCAGAAUUCAGUGAAUCAUCGAAUCUUUGAACGCACCUUGCGCUCCUUGGUAUUCCGAGGAGCAUGCCUGUUUGAGUGUCAUUAAUAUAUAUCAACCUUUCUCUUGUUGAAUGGUUUGGAUGUGGGGGUCUUGCUGGUCUCUAAUAGGGUUCAGCUCUCCUGAAAUGCAUUAGCAGAACAACCUGUUCAUUGGUGUGAUAACUAUCUACGCUUUUGAAUGUAAAGGGUUCAGUACUUUUUAACCGUCUUGGACAAUCUAUCAUUAUGUGA